rnacentral:rRNA from 1 species
CCGGGCUCAAGAUGACCCCCGGCGGUGUGCCUAAUACGUGCAAGUCGAACGCGUUGGUCCAAUUGACGACUGGUGCUUGCACCGGUUGGAUUUUGGCCGCCAACGAGUGGCGGACGGGUAAGUAACACGUAGGCCCCCUGCCCAGAAGCGGGGGAUAACAUUUGGAAACAGAUGCUAAUACCGCAUAACAACGUUGUUCGCAUGAUUCAAAUUUCAAAGAUGGCCUCUGGUUAUCACUUUGGGAUGGACCUGCGGCGCAUUAGCUUGUGGGUAGGGUAACGGCCUACCAAGGCUGUGAUGCGUAGCCGAGUUGAGAGACUGAUCGGCCACAAUGGAACUGAGACACGGUCCAUACUCCUACGGGAGGCAGCAGUAGGGAAUCUUCCACAAUGGGCGCAAGCCUGAUGGAGCAACACCGCGUGAGUGAAGAAGGGUUUCGGCUCGUAAAGCUCUGUUGUUAGAGAAGAACGUGCGUGAGAGCAACUGUUCACGCAGUGACGGUAUCUAACCAGAAAGUCACGGCUAACUACGUGCCAGCAGCCGCGGUAAUACGUAGGUGGCAAGCGUUAUCCGGAUUUAUUGGGCGUAAAGCGAGCGCAGGCGGUUUGAUAAGUCUGAUGUGAAAGCCUUUGGCUUAACCAAAGAAGUGCAUCGGAAACUGUCAGACUUGAGUGCAGAAGAGGACAGUGGAACUCCAUGUGUAGCGGUGGAAUGCGUAGAUAUAUGGAAGAACACCAGUGGCGAAGGCGGCCGUCUGGUCUGCAACUGACGCUGAGACUCGAAAGCAUGGGUAGCGAACAGGAUUAGAUACCCUGGUAGUCCAUGCCGUA